rnacentral:lncRNA from 1 species
CCAGCAGUUGUGGAGAUAACCUGUGUAAGCCCAGCUACAAUAGCUCCUGGAGUAAUAUCAUCCACUCCUGGACUGAUGAGGUGAAGGUGCAUCUGUGUACUGUAUAUAAACAUAUAAUAGCAAUGAAUAGCAUUUUAUGUAGCUCUUUUCACCAAGGUCUCAAAAUGCUUUCCAUUCUGAAAGGCUAACUCACCUAUCAUCCACCACCCACCAUUUGAAAAAACAUUUGCCUUUAUCAUAUUGAUUCAGUAUACAUAUUUCACUCUACUACAAACAAAACAUACUGUUCAGGGUAUCACAACAAUUUGUAGGCUUCUCACAGAGCGUCAUGAUCAUACUAUAGGCACGCUCUUGUAAGAGCCUGUGUCUUGAUUCUGCUCUCAUGACCAUCCAGAUCGGCUGCACUGUGGUACCCUGCUCCUACUACAAGGACUUCUAUGUCAAUCACUACUGUUCUUCUCAACAGGAUCAUACCAUAUAAGAUAUUUCAUGCAUACAUGAGCCACCCAUUCACAUGGCAUUGUCCUUCUCAGUCUCUAUACAUUUCGUGGCUCUCCAGUACUGUCUAUCCCUGCUAUACUGUGGCAUGUUAUGGUUCAGAUAAUGUGUGUGUGUUAACCAUGUUUUCAUGUUUUAUGCUCAGACCUAUUACAGUGGAAACUACACCAACCACCCCUACAAGUCAUGAUGCACCUCUGGAGACUGUCCUGGUGCCUGCGAUAGCAGACCGUGCACCAGCCCCUGCCUCUAUGCUAAUAAGUACACCAACUGUGCUGACACGGCCAAGCAGCCAGGGCUGCAGCAACAGUCAUGUCACCUCCUGGUGUCCUGUCUCCUGCAGGACUCAUCAGACGGUCUGAUCAGCCAGAGACAUGUUCUGACCAAUCAUCCUGAUAGACAACAACAAUCAUCCUGAUAGACAACAACAAUCAUCCUGAUAGACAACAAAAAUCAUCCUGAUAGACAACAACAAUCAUCCUGAUAGACAACAACAAUCAUCCUGAUAGACAACAACAAUCUCCUAAUAAACCUGGUCAUGACUAAGGUGUCCUCCAUCCUGCAAUAAAUAAUCAUCCUUUGGUUAAGUUGUAAAAUGCAAUUAAGGGACAAUACUUACUCUUUCCCUUUCAGGUUUGUGGCUGCUUCUCUGCCAGUCGUAUAAUGAAAGCAAUUUCUAAACUGUUCUCAGGUGACGUAGGGCAAAGAACCUAUGGUAAAUUCUCCCCUGGCACCCAAUGAUCUUGGCAAAACAGUACGCACAGGGACAAAACUGAUGACUUCAUCUGAGGUGUUAGGUGAGGGGGAGGGAUGAACCAACUGAUAGAGGUCUACUUUUGGUAGGGUCCAACAAGGAAAAGUAAAACUUCACAUACAAUGGAGCCACCCCAACAGAGCCCAACGUCAGAAAGGAUGACCCCCGGGGGCCUCCCAGGUUGCGCAGUGGUUAAGGGCGCUGUACUGCAGCGCCAGCUGUGCCACCAGAGACUCUGGGUUCGCGCCCAGGCUCUGUCAUAACCGGUUGCGACCGGGAGGUCCGUGGGGCGUCGCACAAUUGGCCUAGUGUCGUCCGGGUUAGGGAGGGAUUGGCCGGUAGGGAUAUCCUUGUCUCAUCGUGCACCAGCGACUCCUGUGGCGGGCCGGGUGCAGUGCUCGCUAACCAAGGUUGCCAGGUGCACGGUGUUUCCUCCGACACAUUGGUCCUGCUGGCUUCCGGGUUGGAUGCGUGCUGUGUUAAGAAGCAGUGCGGCUUGGUUGGGUUGUGUAUCGGAGGACGCAUGACUUUCAACCUUCGUCUCUCCCGAGCCGUACGGGAGUUGUAGCGAUGAGACAAGAUAGUAGCUACUAAACAAUUGGAUACCACGAAAUUGGGGAGAAAACGGGGUAAAAUUCAACAACAAAAAAAGAAAAAGAUAGGAUGACCCCUCUCUAUUCACACCCUUUGGCGCAUCCCAUCAGUCUGGGCUUAACACAGUAGGACCGGAAGCAACCGCUUGGUUCAGGGACUUUGCAUCCGCUAAAUAAAAGAACAAACAUCUGGAACUUUCCACAAUGUUUACCUUCUGACUCAAAGUCAGAUGAAAUUUAACAAGGUAUAUUAGUUUGAACAUUUCUGCAAAGUAGGUAUAAAUGUGUCAGUGGAACUUUGAAGAAAAAUAUAUAUUUACUAGUCGUCAUCUGGUUUUCAAUGUUUACUUUCCACCCUCUUCUUGUAAAACUACAUGACUCCCUUCCCAGUGAAAACAAGGCAAAGCAGACUAGAUUAAUGUAAUUGACAGUGAAGUGCAGGAUACGAGGAGUAACAUAGGAAGUGGCUCAGUAACACAGGAAGCUGGAGAGAGGACUUCCUGUCUGCUGAGGUGAGGACUUAAUUGAGACCUUGGCAUUCAGAGCUCUCACGUAACUCCUCAAGGUCAGAACUCUUCAAGUGAGGAGCUUGGCCGCAGAUGUUUGAAGUUUGAAGUAGACAGAAUCCA